UACGUAGGGGGCAAGCGUUGUCCGGAAUUACUGGGCGUAAAGGGUGCGUAGGCGGCAUUUUAAGUCAGAUGUGAAAUACCCGAGCUUAACUCGGGGGGUGCAUUUGAAACUGGAAUACUUGAGUGCAGGAGAGGUAAGUGGAAUUCCUAGUGUAGCGGUGAAAUGCGUAGAUAUUAGGAGGAACACCAGUGGCGAAGGCGACUUACUGGACUGUAACUGACGCUGAGGCACGAAAGCGUGGGGAGCAAACAGG
rnacentral:rRNA from 1 species